CCUACGGGUGGCAGCAGUGAGGAAUAUUGCGCAAUGGACGAAAGCCUGACGCAGCGAAGCCGCGUGAAGGAUGACGGUCUUCGGAUCGUUAACCUCUGUCAGCAUGGAAGAACGGUCACUGUGGUAAUCAGCAGUGAAUUGACGGUACCUGCAAAGGAAGCACCGGCUAACUCCGGGCCAGCAGCCGCGGUAAUACGGAGGGUGCGAGCGUUAAUCGGAAUUACUGGGAGGAAAGCGAGCGUAGGCGGUAUGUCAAGUCAAGGGUGAAAGUCCCCGGCUCAACGGUGGAAUUGCCUUUGAUACUGGCAAACUGGAGUGUGUGAGAGGAUGGUGGAAUUCGAGGUGUAGGAGUGAAAUCCUUAGAUAUCUGGAGGAACAUCAGUGGCGAAGGCGACUAUCUGGCACAUAACUGACGCUGAGGAGCGAAAGCGUGGGUAGCAAACAGGAUUAGAUACCCGGGUAGUC
rnacentral:rRNA from 1 species